AGCAGCAGCCGCGGUAAAACGGAGGGUGCAAGCGUUAAUCGGAAUUACUGGGCGUAAAGCGCACGCAGGCGGUCUGACAAGUCAGAUGUGAAAUCCCCGGGCUUAACCUGGGAACUGCAUUUGAAACUGUCAGGCUGGAGUCUUGUAGAGGGGGGUGGAAUUCCAGGUGUAGCGGUGAAAUGCGUAGAGAUCUGGAGGAAUACCGGUGGCGAAGGCGGCCCCCUGGACAAAGACUGACGCUCAGGUGCGAAAGCGUGGGGAGCAAACAGGAUUAGAGACCCCAGUAGUCCCUGUCUCUUAUAC
rnacentral:rRNA from 1 species